UGGAGUAAAAAGUACAAGAAUAUUUCAAUUAUCUUGAAAGAUGAUGGAAAGGAAAGUACUUCAUAGUUGCCAUACUAGCUUAUGGUAAAAGUGCCGACUCAGUGGUUUCAGAAUGUAUGACAAACAUUGAUUUGGCACUGGAAUACAUUAGUUGUAGACCCGUAAAAGAGCAAUCUAAAAAAUGCGUUCAGCACGGCUAUGGCAAUGAACUUAUCGGAUUGUUAUGACUCUUACUGGCAGCGGGAAGUUCUUAUCCUACCGCAGCUUUUGACGGUUGUUAUUGAUUUAUUGGCUUUAUUGAGGCAUCAUGGCACAACUAAUGGAACUAUAAAAAUUUUCGGAUUGCUGCGAGAUUUGACCUUGAAUGUUGAUGUGUACUUUCAGACGCAUUGAAUAUGCAGGCAGCGAGGCGAAAUUAUUUAACCAUCAACACGUAGUUUACAUAAUUAUCCCUCACUCCAGAAAGGGUUCGGUAUCCCAAGUCACCCCCCUUUCCCAAUCAACGGACCGAAAAAUAUUCAUCAGGUUUUCGAUCAUAUGCAUCAGUCUUCAAAAUUGCGGUUCUACGGUGUUUAUUAGCCACAAUUCACAAUGAAUGAAUCUCACCAAAGUUAAAGAUAGAUGCCAGAAUAUCUAAGAAGCAGCACGCUAAGGAAGAACAUUCGAUGGUGCCAGUUUAUUAACAACACACGAUGUUCGUCAGCCGGCGGACCAGACGUGUCAAGUCAGCACCGACCAAGAAGUGCCUCCAGACUUGUGGCAUGGGUGCUGGUUAGCUGGUUGGCUGGCUGGCUAGCUGGUUAGCUGCCCGGUUGCUGGAGGAGCCAUCUCUGGGCCACUGGCUACUACUACCACGGUGUGAGAUGGCAACUGGUGCCGCUGCAGCCGUCGAAUGCAGUUGUCGUGAUUGCUGGCUCAGAUUGCAUGUGGAAUGCAAAGACCAGAAGCCAAUUUGUUAUUGUGUUGUUUUAUGCCCUCCAGGCUGCUGCUACCGUUUAUUUGCGGCCACAUUUUCCUUUUCUGUUUCGGGCAUACCCUGCACUUCAGUUCGGGCAUCACGCAUACGCUCCAUGGCCUGGCAUUCUAAUUUAAU